GAUGAACGCUGGCGGCGUGCCUAAUACAUGCAAGUCGAGCGAAUGGAUUAAGAGCUUGCUCUUAUGAAGUUAGCGGCGGACGGGUGAGUAACACGUGGGUAACCUGCCCAUAAGACUGGGAUAACUCCGGGAAACCGGGGCUAAUACCGGAUAAUAUUUUGAACUGCAUGGUUCAAAAUUGAAAGGCGGCUUCGGCUGUCACUUAUGGAUGGACCCGCGUCGCAUUAGCUAGUUGGUGAGGUAACGGCUCACCAAGGCAACGAUGCGUAGCCGACCUGAGAUGGUGAUCGGACACACGGGGACGGAAAAACGGCCCAGACUCCUACGGGAGGCAGCAGUAGGGAAUCUUCCGCAAUGGACGAAAGUCUGACGGAGCAACGCCGCGUGAGUGAUGAAGGCUUUCGGGUCGUAAAACUCUGUUGUUAGGGAAGAACAAGUGCUAGUUGAAUAAGCUGGCGCCUUGACGGUACCUAACCAGAAAGCCACGGCUAACUACGUGCCAGCCGCCGCGGUAA
rnacentral:rRNA from 1 species